rnacentral:rRNA from 1 species
AGGAUGAACGCUGGCGGCGUGCCUAACACAUGCAAGUCGAGCGAUUCUCUUCGGAGAAUAGCGGCGGACGGGUGAGUAACGCGUGGGUAACCUGCCCUGUACACACGGAUAACAUACCGAAAGGUAUGCUAAUACGGGAUAACAUAAGAAAUUCGCAUGUUUUUUAUCAAAGCUCCGGCGGUACAGGAUGGACCCGCGUCUGAUUAGCUAGUUGGUGAGGUAACGGCUCACCAAGGCGACGAUCAGUAGCCGACCUGAGAGGGUGAUCGGCCACAUUGGAACUGAGACACGGUCCAAACUCCUACGGGAGGCAGCAGUGGGGAAUAUUGCACAAUGGGCGAAAGCCUGAUGCAGCAACGCCGCGUGAGCGAUGAAGGCCUUCGGGUCGUAAAGCUCUGUCCUCAAGGAAGAUAAUGACGGUACUUGAGGAGGAAGCCCCGGCUAACUACGUGCCAGCAGCCGCGGUAAU